GACGCUCACGGCGGGCGGGCGGGCGGGGAGGCAGCGCGUCCGGAACUGUUGUCCCCGCCGCUGCUGCCACUGCUGCCGCCGCCGUGCACGGCCCCGAUUCUCCACCGGAAGCUGCCUCGGGGGUGUCACGUCUCCGUCCUACCGGAGGGUGGUAGGCUGUUUGUGCAAAAGGAAGGAGGCCGCGGAGGAUGCGAGCGAUGGGGUCGCCCCCCACCCGCUCUGCAAAGAUACAAAGUCAGAAGUAUAAAGUACAUGAAGAAAAAAGAAAGAAGCAAAAAGAAAAAUAGAAAAAAAUCCAACUUUCAGAAACAUUUUUACAUUACCAACCGGACUUCCCCACGUCUCCCUCACCCUGCGUUCCUUUCAAUAAACAUAUCAGCAAAUUAUUACCUUGUUUCAUACCUUACUUGUAUCUUUCAAAUAUUAUUCUUCUAAAUUUAAAGUACCUUUUGUCAAUAACUUGUACCUUAAAAUAAACAUAAUAUAACUUUAAAUUUCAA